rnacentral:rRNA from 1 species
AUGUCAGUUUCAGAUACGAACCUUAAUAAUGGAGAAAAGCCCAUCUCCGAAACUACCGAUGCGGAACUCGCCGAAAAGCAUGGUCAUAUGAAGUUAGUAUGCUCACAGACAAGGUUCGGAAAAACCAUGAAACUGUUGUCAGAAGACCACAAAAAGUACAUCAUAUCAGAAACCAGUCUCGGCGGACUAACCCAGAUGCAUGAAGUGACUCUACGUCGCAUAAUGUUGGUUAGACUAGCCAAGAGCAUAGAUAUGGACACGAAAUCCAUUACCAUCUGUAAAACCCCAAUUCCUAUAACAAAAGAGGACGUGCAAGGUAUAUUUGGCAUUCCGAUAGAAGGGGGGGAUAUAGAGCCACAUCUGGAAAAUCAAACCGACACAGAAUUGUUUACCGCCUAUGCAAACAAUGGGCAAAUUUUGAUUUCUGACCUUGGAACGGCGAUCCGAGCUUCCAAAGCCCCAGACAGUGAUUUCCUGAGAUGGUUCAUUCUGUACGCAAUUGGUACUGUUCUAGCACCAACAGCACAACAUUAUGUGGACUCGAAAUAUCUCAACCUUGUUACAGAUCUUGAAAACCUUCGAAAAUUUAAAUGGGGAUGUUUCACACUUAAUCACUUCUUCAAGUCCGUUCACAAGUUUAGAAAUCGAGAUCACAUAAAUCUACAAGGAAAUCUAAUUCUGCUCCAGUAUUGGUACUGGGAGCACAUGCGUAGUGGCCGAUUAAUGUAUGCUUCUGGACCCCCUCCAUUGAUCGCACGAUGGGACAAAAUGAUGGCUACUAUAAGAAGUGAUGCUUACGAGAAAGGAGGUCUUCAUAAUGGGCUAAUUGAAAUGGUAGUUGAAGUCAUGAAUGCACGCAUUGCUGAUCAUGAAAAGAAGGUAGGCAGGAAGUUAAUGGAAAUUGAGCACAGAUUUGAUGUUAAAUACCAGACUCUAGGUGAAGACUUGAUCGACAUGAAGACUAAAACUGGCACUAAUCCUAGGUUGUUGAAGGCCGAGGACGAAAUUAAAGACUUAAGGAGGGAACUCCAUGACUUAAAAUACGAAUUUACAAGGAACCGACAAUCAGUGUCACAGAAAGGAGGCGUGCAGGUGAUCAAUAUGGCCCAACAUAUUAAUAUCUAA